AGAGUUUGAUCAUGGCUCAGAUUGAACGCCGGCGGUAUGCUUAACACAUGCAAGUCGAACGGUAACAGUCCCUCACCUAGAAAUUUCUUAAAAAGAGAUUUGUAGGUGAGGGAGCUGACGAGUGGCGGACGGGUGCGUAAUGUAUAGGAAUCUGCCUAGUAGUGGGGGACAACUCGGAGAAAUUCGAGCUAAUACCGCAUAAGCCCUCCGGGGGAAAACGGGGGAUCUUCGGACCUCGUGCUAUUAGAUGAGCCUAUAUUAGAUUAGCUUGUCGGUGAGGUAAUGGCUCACCAAGGCGACGAUCUAUAGCUGGUCUGAGAGGAUGAUCAGCCACACUGGGACUGAGACACGGCCCAGACUCCUACGGGAGGCAGCAGUGGGGAAUAUUGGACAAUGGGCGAAAGCCUGAUCCAGCAAUACCGCGUGUGUGAAGAAGGCCUGAGGGUUGUAAAGCACUUUCAAUUGGGAGGAAUACCUAAUAGUUAAUAGCUAUUAGAUUGAC
rnacentral:rRNA from 1 species